rnacentral:misc_RNA from 1 species
UGUGGGAGCUGGCUUGCCUGCGAUAGCGGUGGCCCAGUUAGCCAUGAAGUGACUGACAGACCGCUAUCGCAGGCAAGCCAGCUCCCACA